AGUUUGAUCCUGGCUCAGAACGAACGCUGGCGGCGUGCCUAACACAUGCAAGUCGAACGGAGUUAAAGGUGUAGCAAUACAUCUUUAACUCAGUGGCGAACGGGUGAGUAACACGUAGGUAACCUACCCUAAGGUGGGGGACAACUGAGGGAAACUUCAGCUAAUACCGCAUAAGACCACGGGCUGAAAUGCUUGUGGUAAAAGGAGCAAUCCGCCUUAGGAUGGGUCUGCGGCCUAUCAGGUAGUUGGUAGGGUAAUGGCCUACCAAGCCUAUGACGGGUAGCCGGUCUGAGAGGAUGGACGGCCACACUGGAACUGAGACACGGUCCAGACUCCUACGGGAGGCAGCAGUGGGGAAUAUUGGACAAUGGGCGAAAGCCUGAUCCAGCGACGCCGCGUGGAGGACGAAGGCCUUCGGGUUGUAAACUCCUUUUGUAGGGGACAAUAAUGAUGGUACCCUACGAAUAAGCCACGGCUAACUCUGUGCCAGCAGCCGCGGUAAGACAGAGGUGGCUAGCGUUGUUCGGAAUUACUGGGCUUAAAGGGCGCGUAGGCGGUAAUGUAAGUCUGAGGUGGAAUCCUUUGGCUUAACCAAAGGACUGCCUUGGAAACUGCAUUACUUGAGUCAGAUAGGGGAAGGCGGAAUUCCUGGUGUAGCAGUGAAAUGCGUAGAUAUCAGGAGGAAGGCCUGUGGUGAAGACGGCCUUCUGGGUCUUGACUAACGCUGAGGCGCGAAAGCGUGGGGAGCAAACAGGAUUAGAUACCCUGGUAGUCCACGCCCUAAACGGUGGGCACUCGGUGUGGGAUCCGCAAGGNUUCUGUGCCUUAGGGAAACCGUUAAGUGCCCCGCCUGGGAAGUACGGCCGCAGGUUGAAACUCAAAGGAAUUGACGGGGGCCCGC
rnacentral:rRNA from 1 species